rnacentral:lncRNA from 1 species
CACAUCCUGGCAACGGUACUACCCUGGGUUCCGGGCAGGGGUGGAACUGGAUUCUGCCUGGAUGGGGAUCGGAUGGGGGUGGAGGUUUGAUUUGGGAAGCAGAGCACAGCAGCCCAAAUUUGUUGUAAUGGCGGCGGCUACAGACUUGGCAUAUGGCAUAAGACACACAGAGAGAGCCUUGCUGGUGUAGCUGAGAUUUACGACCCUCAUCCAACCAAACCAUUUCAGAUUCUUGGGGCUCAGAGCUCUCAUCGGAAAGACAUCUAUUCUGGGAGCAGGUAUAUCUCUUGCUGAGCAUGUGCUUCCACCCUGGAGGUGUCUUGGGUGAGCAUAGGUACCCUUGUGACUAUGAAGAUUGACAAAAAGUUGACGGCAACGAUGAAUUCUCUUCCAGAACUUACAUCCCAGAAGGCCCUCCCCUACUUCGGGUCUCCCUAGAGAGUGGAGAGACCUGCUGCCCUUGAAGAAGCAAACAGCCAUGUUGUGAGCUGCCUAAGCCUCUAGGUCUUGAGGGAAGCUUACAGUUAAGAGCCAGCAAAA